AAAGCGUUUGAGGGCUUCUAAACUCCUCUUUUGAUUAUAUUGUUUUACAUCUGCUUUUGAGAAGCUUAUUUUCCCUUCCUUCUAUAACUUGUAUUUACUUGGUUCAAUCGGGGGAUUGAAUCAAGGGGACUAAGGUUGGUUGGUGAGCCAAGUUAAAAACCAACGCGUGUAAGGGUUUGAUUGUGAGCCCGGAAAAACAAUCGGGGUUCGUUCUAGUCGAUGAGCCUGGGAAAACCGACCGAGUUCGUUGUGAGCUCGUAAAACAACAAGUUUGGUUGUGAGCUUGCAAAACAACCGACUGUAAUCCAAGGGGGUUAUAGUGAAUUCCCAAGAGAGACUUGGGGAGUGGACGUAGGAGCAAGGGGUAGCUCCGAACCACUAUAAAACUCUGUGUUUGCAUUGGAUUGUCUCUCUUCGUCUUCCCCUCACAUCACUCACAGCACUUAGCAUUAAUUAAAUAACUUGCAAUAGUUUUUAAUUAAUCAACCACAUCGUUUUAAUUAUCUAAAUUAUUUUAAAACCCAAUUCACCCCCCCUCUUGGGUUGUCUAUCUGGGCAACAAAUCUAAAAUUAUAUUAAAUAAUCUAAUAUAUAUUUUGUUCCUUGAGGAUUCGACCUCGGACUCCCGAGAUUUUACUACUUGUGCGAUUCUCCUGCACUUGGGAGAACAUUUCUGUGACGCAUCAAGUUUUUGGCGCCGUUGCCGGGGAACGGCUGAUUUAUUAGUAUAAUUUUAGAUUUA
rnacentral:lncRNA from 1 species